GUCAUUAAGGAGCAGGUAGGGGUUAGACAGUGAAUACAGAGACAGGUCAUUAAGGAGCAGGUAGGGGUUAGACAGUGAAUACAGAGACAGGUCAUUAAGGAGCAGGUAGAGGUUAGACAGUGAAUACAGAGACAGGUCAUUAAGGAGCAGGUAGGGGUUAGACAGUGAAUAAUAAUAAUAAUAAUAAAUUUUAUUUAUACUGCACUUUAUAUUCAAGAAUCUCAAAGUGCUUCAGAGAAAAAAAACACCAAAAAACUAUUAAAAAAGGGGGAACCUCAAAGAAAGUUUAGCUGAAUGCUCUUUUAAAGAGAUGGGUUUUGAGGUUCCGUUUAAAAAGAGCUGUAGUCUGUGGAGCCCUCAGGUGGUCAGGGAGGGCGUUCCAUAGUCUAGGGGCAGCAGCAGAAAAGGCCUGAUCACCCAUGGUGCACAGCUUCGUAUGUCGGGUUUGGAGGGUGUGAGUGGAUCCUGAACGGAGUGUACGUGAGUUUGUCGGGGGGGUGAGGAGUUCCUGAAGGUAGAGGGGGGCAAGUCCGUGAAGGCACUGGUGGGUGAGGAGGGAGACCUUGUACUCAAUUCUGAGUGAGACAGGGAGCCAGUGCAGUGAUUUCAGGAUGGGGGUGAUGUGGUCAUGCUUGCGCACCCUCAUCAGGACCCUGGCAGCACUGUUUUGAAUGUAUUGGAGCCUCUGGAUGCUCUUGCCAGGGAUCCCAAUGAGGAGUGCAUUGCAGUAGUCCAACCUGGAGGAGACAAAGGCAUGGACGAGCUUCUCUGCAUCAGCCAGGGUGAGUGAUUGGCGGAGUUUGGCGAUGUUCCUGAGGUGGUAUAAAGCUGUCUUACAGAGGUGUUUGAUGUGGGUGUCAAAAUUAAGUUGUGGGUCCAUUUUAACACCGAGGUUGGUGACGGAUGUGGAAAGGGGGACGUUUUUGCCAGAGAAGGUGAUAUUGGUGAUGGUGGGGGAGCGGAGCUGAUGUGGCGUGCCAACAAGGAUGGCUUCCGUUUUAUGGCUGUUAAGUUGUAGGAAGUUGAGCUUCAUCCACGCCUCUAUCUCCUCCAGGCAGGUGGUCAGUGUGGAUGUUGGCAGAGGGGCAGAAGAAGUGGGGGUUGUCCUGAUGUAGAGCUGUGUAUCAUCAGCAUAGCAGUGGUAAGACAAGCCAUGCCUGCUAAUGACACUACCCAGGGGGAGCAUGUACAGUGAGAACAGUGUGACGUUGUUGGUGUGUGAUUUUGCUUUGCCCAGGGCAACGUGCUCAGUUCUGUCAGUGAGGUACGAGGUGAACCAGUUCUUUACAUUUCCUGAUAGUCCAAUGGUGUAUUGCAGGCGGUGAAGGAGAAUAUUGUGGUCAACCGUAUCAAAAGCAGCUGUUAAGUCCAGGAGGAUGAGGAGAGAUGGGGAGCCGGUGUCUGCUGCCAUCAGGAGGUCAUUUGUGACCCUGACCAAGGCUGUUUCUGUACUGUGGCCAUAGCGGAAACCAGACUGGAAUUUUUCAAACAAGUGAUGUUGUAUGAGGUGAUCCUGGAGUUGUGCUGCAACUGUUUUUUCCAGAACUUUUGACAGAAAUGGGAGAUUUGAGAUGGGCCUGUAGUUGGAGAGGACUUCUGGAUCAAGGGUAGGUUUUUUUAAUGUUGGUCUGAUGACAGCAGUUUUUAAUGCAGAUGGGAUAUGGCCGGCCAGGAGGGAGUGGUUAAUGAUAUUGGUGAUGAGUGGAGAGACAGCAGAGAUGUUGGCCUUCAGCAGAGCUGUAGGGAAGGGGUCUAGUGCACAGGUGGAUGGCUUCAUUUUCCUGAUGAAGUCCUCCACCUCUUCCUUUGUGAUGCUGGAGAAGGAGCAGAGGGUCUGGACAGAGUCAAUCGGUGGGUCAGCAGUUUGAAGGGGCAGGGCAGUAGUGAUGGAGAGGUGUGAGCGGAGGUUAUUCACUUUUUGUUUAAAAAAGUUGAUGUGCAUGUUGCACCUCUCCGUGGUGACAUCAGAUUGGGAUGGUAAAGGGGGUUUGAGAAGGGGAUGGACAGUUGAAAAGAGCUGUUUGGAGUUACCAGGGCUAUUGUUGAUUAUUGCGGAAUAGAACCUGGACCGUGCAUUAUUCAGGGCUUCAGCAUAUGCCCUCCUGUGUUCCCUGUAUGCCUGUUUGUGAACGGUCAGACCAGAGGCCUUGAGUCGCCGCUCAAGGACACGCCCAGCAGCCUUCAUUGUACGUAGUUCACUGGUGUACCAGGGUGCGGAGCGCGAGAAGGAGACUGACCUCGAUGUUAAGGGGGCGUGGAGAUCCAGGAGACUGCUCAGGGACUGGUUGUAUAAGUCCACUGAGUCAGCAACAGAGAGGGAGUCAGUUGAGCCAGAGGAGAGAUGUUGAAGGUCCAGGGCCAGGGCAUCCAUGUUGAUAUUUUUCACAUUCCUGAAGUGGAUCUGCCGCUUUGGUUUGGUGUGGGAGGAAGGAAAAGGGAGCUCCAUUGACACAACUCUGAUCCGAGACGCCAAGAUCAUAGACCUGUAGGUUGCUGAUGGGGGCGGAGUUUGAGAUGACCAGGUCAAUUGUGUGUCCUCUGGAGUGUGUGGGGGCAUCAACAUGUACAACAUAAAUACAGAGACAGGUCAUUAAGGAGCAGGUAGGGGUUAGUCAGUGGAUACAGAGACAGGUCAUUAAGGACCAGGUAGGGGUUAGACAGUGGAUACAGAGACAGGUCAUUAAGGAGCAGGUAGGGGUUAGUCAGUGGAUAUGGAGACAGGUCAUUAAGGACCAGGUAGGGGUUAGACAGGGAAUACAGAGACAGGUCAUUAAGGAGCAGGUAGGGGUUAGACAGUGAACACAGAGACAGGUCAUUAAGGAGCAGGUAGGGGUUAGACAGUGAACACAGAGACAGG